rnacentral:rRNA from 1 species
GAUGAACGCUGGCGGCGUGCCUAAUACAUGCAAGUCGAGCGAACAGAUGAGGAGCUUGCUCCUCUGACGUUAGCGGCGGACGGGUGAGUAACACGUGGAUAACCUACCUAUAAGACUGGGAUAACUUCGGGAAACCAGAGCUAAUACCGGAUAAUAUAUUGAACCGCAUGGUUCAAUAGUGAAAGACGGUUUUGCUGUCACUUAUAGAUGGAUCCGCGCCGCAUUAGCUAGUUGGUAAGGUAACGGCUUACCAAGGCAACGAUGCGUAGCCGACCUGAGAGGGUGAUCGGCCACACUGGAACUGAGACACGGUCCAGACUCCUACGGGAGGCAGCAGUAGGGAAUCUUCCGCAAAGGGCGAAAGCCUGACGGAGCAACGCCGCGUGAGUGAUGAAGGUCUUCGGAUCGUAAAACUCUGUUAUUAGGGAAGAACAAAUGUGUAAGUAACUAUGCACGUCUUGACGGUACCUAAUCAGAAAGCCACGGCUAACUACGUG